GACGAACGCUGGCGGCGUGCCUAAUACAUGCAAGUAGAACGCAGUUGCGAACGUAUGGCUAACGCGUAGGUACCUGCCUGGUGGCGGGGGAUAACUAUUGGCAACGAUAGCUACUACCGCAUACUACCCGAUGGACCUGCGUUGUAUUAGCUAGUUGGGUGGGUAACGGCUCACCAAGGCAACGGAACAUAGCCGACCUGAGAGGGUGGUCGGCCAAACUGGGACUGGGACACGGCCCAGACUCCUUCGGGAGGCAGGAGUAGGGAAUCUUCGGGAAUGGGGGGAAACUUGAACGAGCAACGCCGCGUGAGUGAAGAAGGUUUUCGGAUCGGAAAGCUUUGUUGUUAAGGAAGCGGUACUUAACCAGAAAGGGACGGCUAACUACGUGCCAGCAGCCGCGGUAAUUC
rnacentral:rRNA from 1 species